CGAUUCUAAGAAAGAUCUUAAUAACACAAGGACAGGUAGAAAAUUGGAUCGACCCUAAAUGAACCUCCCAAAAUCAAGGUUAAAAUGAACGAACAACACGUUUUUGCACUUCUUUCCUUCGUCAUGUCGUCGUGUGCUCUCUCUAUAUUAGCGUUCGUGAGACGACAUUACCAUGUCAGAAAAAGAACCGGCUGAAGUUCAAGGUCCUACUUAUAAAUAUGUUUUUCUCAAUUUACCGGAGCUCUUUUCACAACAAAGUAGUUAAUUGCCAUUUUCUUACUUUAAUCCGUGACGACAAACACUCUGAUUGUAAUCCGGAACAGGCUCGAAAUAAAGAGGAGAAGUACAAAACA